rnacentral:misc_RNA from 1 species
GAUGAAGAACGUAGCGAAAUGCGAUAAGUAAUGUGAAUUGCAGAAUUCAGUGAAUCAUCGAAUCUUUGAACGCACCUUGCGCCCUUUGGCCAUUCCGAAGGGCAUGCCUGUUUGAGUAUAAUGAACACCUCAACUCUUUAUGGUUUUCCAUGAUGAGAUUGGACUCUGGGGGUUUUGCUGGCUCACAGUCGUCUCCUCUAAAAUGAAUCAGCUUACCAGUGUUUGGUGGGUAUCAUGUGUGUGAUAACUAUCUACGCUUGUGGUUUUUCCACCAGGUAACCUUCAGCAGUGGAGGUUCGCUGGAGCUCAUAGAUGUCUCUCCUCAGUGAGGACAGCCCUUUGAAUGUUUGAUCUCAAAUCAGGUAGGACUACCCGCUGAACUUAAGCAUAUCAAUAAGCGGAGGA